GCUGCAACUCGCCUACAUGAAGUCGGAAUUGCUAGUAAUCNCGGAUCAGCAUGCCGCGGUGAAUACGUUCCCGGGCCUUGUACACACCGCCCGUCACACCAUGGGAGCCGGUAAUACCCGAAGUCAGUAGUCCAACCUCGUGAGGACGCUGCCGAAGGUAGGAUUGGCGACUGGGGUGAAGUCGUAACAAGGUAGC
rnacentral:rRNA from 1 species